AUAACAUUUUAUUUUUUCACAAUUAUUCAUGAGAUAAGAAUAUUUUCAAUAACGAAAUAAUUAACCUUUUAACGUUUAUUGCGCUACUUUUCCAGUCCAACUGAGUUACUGGUGUCUGCUACUGUUUUUCAAAGAUUUUUGGGCUCUAAAAAUCUAAAAAAAAUGUUGACACACUUUUUCAACGUUCCAGAAUACGAUUUCACAAUUGUCUGCCCCGAAACGUUGUUCACUUUUCUUUUGUACGUGACUAAAUUUGAGGCAGAAUAAUUCAAAAUUCAAAAUUUACUUUAUGUUCAAUUGAAAUGCGUAAAAGGGAGACCGAAGGACGUUUCAAUUUUUUAAACAUAGAUAAUUGACGCAGUGUUCUUUUUUACGAUUCGUUUAAAAAGCUUUGUCUAAGGGGCGCAUCCAUAUUUUACGUCGUAACUCACGAAUCAAACAAACGGAACGACCGUGAUACAAAACGUGUACUUGGUUCGCCCGCUCAUUCGUUCACCUGCCGCUCAUUAGAAGCCUUAUCGCUCAUUAAUCCAUAUAGCAACAGCGUUACGGCUCUCGUGUCGUUCGUUGCCUUGCUUCUUCAUCCGCCUCCUCUCUCUCUCUCUCUCUCUCUCUCUCUUCUCUAUCUCUCUCUCUCUCUCUCUCUCUCUCUCUCUUCUCUAUCUCUCUCACCCGCAAUUACAAGUAUACUUCCUGGACUCGUCACCCUAACUUGAGGCUGUUAGGGGUGCGAACGGCAAUUAUGGUUUCUCGUCUUGAUACAAGGUAUUAACGAGUCUGCGAGAAGGGUUGUCGGACGCGUUAUUGCAAAUCUUUCCGGUUCAGGUCAGUGCCAAUGACAACAAAAAGAUAUACUAGUCUUAGAUCGUCUUAGAAUGAUAUUUCUUGGACAGAUUCCGUAAUUAAUUCGAUGUAUUUUAUCUCAUAUAACGAAAACUUUGAGCUAGCAAGAACUUCCAAAGCUUCUCGGCAGUUGGAUUAGUCCGAAAUGUUCUAUGGAAUCCCAAUUGUUGUUGAAUUUAUUGAAACGAUCUUUACUUCAACAAGUAAAGCUAAAGAUGUAAAAUACAUAGAUAUAUUAAUUAAUAAUUAAUAAAUUGCCAGCUUCUAUCUCUUGAAACAUAUUCUCGCACGUCGUAAACGAGCGUGAUUGUUUGUAAUCUUUGAAAUCAAUUUCUUUUCAUCUAAAUUGAGCUAGAGUCGGCGAGAUAAUUCGACAGUAUCACAUGUUUCUACUUGAACGCAGUCAUUCCGCUGUCUUUCAAUCUCUACCCCGCCGCGUCGAUCGCAUCAACAGCGACGUUUACAGUAAUGUAUGCAGUCAAUGUGUCAAGAGCUGCCUGACUGGCUGCCGACGGUUAUCCCCGGCGUUGUUAAGUCCAUUUAAAUCCACGGUUACGCGACAGCUGGCGUAGGUCAGUAUCAUUAUCUCGCGAGAGGAACGAGAGUGAAACGGCGAAUCGAUAAACGCGGAUGUACGGGACAUUAAUAAACAUGAAGAGGCGAGCGCGAGCGAGCGAUCGAGCGAGCGAGCGAGCGAGCGGGUCGGCAGACCCUCCGCCGUCUCGUCAGCUUCUUCUUCGCGGGCCAACUUUUUCCUCGUUCUUUGCAGAAAGAACUGAUCGGAUUUCUGUAAAGCAAUACCACUGCCACAGAAACCUCUCCGCCGAGAUAUAUUAUAAAUACGAGAACGAUCAGACGCGCCUCCCCCCUUCGCGCUGUUAAUUCAAACGGAAUUUGAAAUCAAAUUCUCUCUCUUCGUCUCGAAUGCGGUGCACGGCUAUCCCCCGUCUUUGUAGCGAGUCGGUUUUUACGUAGGCAAAGUGGAGAAAGCGAACAACUAUCCGGCAACAAAAAGCGAAAGCAAACGCUUUCCUUCGAUUCAUCUGUGUUCAUCAGCGACUUUUAACAUUCGAUAAAGCAUUUAAUACUUCGAGACCGAGCUUACGUCAGAGCUACGAGAUAACAUACCGAAUAAAAAAAAACGUGCGUGUCGCGUCACGUUGCGAGAUAACAAACCACGGAAAAACAAGGAAAGCCAAUUACUGCGAAAGUACUAAUACGCGCGAUGUCGGCUCGCGCCGUACGUUUUUCGCAGUAUUUGACAUGCGAUACCUCGAAAACAGCCGCCUCAUCUCGAGUGUCGAACGUAAGAUUUAAUCGACCACGAUGUUCGCGCACAGCGAGCGAAGGUGCGAGAAGGACGGGGAGAACACCCACCACGCAACGUCUAUACGCCCGCGCCGGUACGCGGGCUCCUUGCACGCGGGCAAGGAGCCGGCAACUUGUUAAUUAUUAAUCAGCAUGUUUAAUUCAUAUUGCGCGCGCCAGCUGUUUGUUUCCUUGAUGCGCGCUAAGGUCUCGUACUUACUUAUGGCAACGCUUAAACGUUACCGCGGGUAAGCAAUGCACUCUGGGUGCUUAGGAAUUCCUUUCCCCCGCCUCCACCUCUUUCCGCUCCCACACCUGUGACUUUUUCUUUUGUCUUUUCCUCACCUUCCCGCGUCGUUCUUUCAAUGCAGAAGUCUACGGCGCUACAUACCAGGCAUGCAUACUGCAACGUGCACGCAUCGCGCGACGGCAAGGUCGUUCCCGUCAACAUUGGCGACGUACAACGCGGCACGCUCGAUUCGAUUCAUCCCUCUUCUUCAAAAUAUUUUAUCACACAAAUCCAUCAAAUUCUAAUUUCGAAAUUGAUAGGAACUUGAACUUCGAAUAACGAUUUAUUUUCAUUUAGAAAAACUUUAUCUAAAAAAUCGAUUGCGUGAACAAUGUUAACAUUGAACCUUUAUAUAAUAAUAAUUUAAUGUCAAAUACCAGUACGCGCUGAUGAACGUAAAACCGUUGUACAAUAGUCGAGAUACAUUAAAUCAAAAUAUACGCGCGAGAAUGUUAAAGUUGAAAAUUAUAUAAUAUCUCAAAUUUGAUUAUCUCAAAAUUAAUAAUGACGCAAGCAUCUUAAAAGCAUCUUGAAUUUUUACAUUACAAUCGAUAACCUUUGUGGCAGUAGUUUAUUAAUAAGUUUCAUAUUCUUUUUAUCUUAAGACGGAGCACAAGAAUGAUAAGCGAAUCGCGUAAUUACCUAGCCUUCUCGCGAAGAAAAACCGACGAACGCUUCUCGAUGACAAGGAAAAUUCUCAAUAAUUCGCCGAGAUAGCGAACCUGAGCUCUUUCGAAAGUUAUUCCAGAGACAUGCGACGAUCGAUGUAUCGCCGCGUGUAUCAGCGGCUAACGUUCGGAGCGUGUGCACGGCAUUUUAUGUAUCAUUCCGGGAGGGGUGGCUUCAUCUCCGUCUCUCGCUCCUGCUUACCACCCCGCGCACUUUUUCUCGACGCGCAACGGGGGUGUUUAUGGGUUUAUUAUACGACCGAUUCCGUCCGCUCGGCCGUUCAUACACGCGCACGCGACAAAUAUGUACGUGCACGUCGGCAUAUGAUUCAGUGCGUGUAGGCGCGUGUGUGAGGAUCCGUUGUGGAUCGGGCGCGUGCGAGGUCCUUCCUUCCCUCUAGGACCACCACAAGCGGCGUCUAUAACGCGUGCGAGACCAUAAAAAAAUAUCCGUGGAGUGAAAAUAAAUCUAACCUCGGGGCCGAGAGAGAGAAAGAAAGACCAGUCGACCGGCCGCGUUCCCUUAACGCGAGGUAAUAGAAACGAAUGGCCGUAAGAGGCGGAGGAAAGAAGUAUAUGCGGCAGCGUACGUGGAAAAAACGACGCCGGGACUUCCCCGACGACGUCGCGACGGAAUUUCUACUCUAUUCAGUUUGUAACGCCUCGUUAGUCCGACGAUAUUCCGCGCAUAUCGCGCUCGUUUAAUGUGCACGUGAGGCCGCGUCAAGGCGUUUAAGCAAAAGGUGCUUUGAAGGUAAAAGUACGUUAUAGUCUCGUAUCAAGUAUACAAAUAUACGAGUGUUGAAUAUACAAAGUGUUCCAUAUUCCAUAUUUUAUAUCUUAUGCAAGAUUGAAAGAGUGAGAUAGUGUAAUUUCAGUAAAAAAAUAAAAUAAAAUAAAAAUAAAAAUAAAAAUAAAAUGUUUUGAUAAAUAGAGAUCGAGAUUUAUUUUCUUUAUCUUAAAAAUCUAACUUUUGAAUUUCUUGCUUCAUUGUCAGUGCUGUAUCGUUAACAAGGCUAAGGACGAUCUACGUUUCGUCAAAUGUUAUUACGGAGAAUACGAGCAAAUCCAUCUGUCACGUAAAAGACAUUAACUCGAGCGCUCUUACCGUGUAUAACCACGGAACACGUACAGGAUCGUCGAGUCGCAAUGAAGCCCCCGCAUGUUCUAUACAUAAGACGGCACCCAGUUUCCACUAUCUUCCCCCAACUGGGCCGAGAAAAAGGGAAAAUGUUAUUGAAAGAUCGCAGGUCGGGAAGCAGGAAGGCGGGUAGAGGGACACGAAGAAAGAUAACCGCGAGGGUAGAAAGAGGAGCGUAAGAGGGACGCGCGGAUGCCGAAGACAAGAGAAGGGAAGAACGGUGGGUUUACCGCAGAGCGGUACCACCCUUAGCGCGGUCUGAGUUCAUUGCGCGAGUCAUCAGUAUCCAUAAGCGAUGAGUUACCCUCCGCUCUCCCUCGCCCUCUCUGAUCUCUCUCGUCCUCUUUCUCUCCCAUCGCGCGGUGGUGCAACCCCGUCGAUAGAAGAGGAAGGUUAGGAUCGGGGCACCUGGUUCGCUUGUUCGACGCGCCUCGCCGCAGCUUCUCUCCUCUCGGCUGGAUGGUCGAAAGGAUGGCGGGGCCACCGUCGUCGGAGAGAAGGACGAAGGCCGAGGACGCGCGGCUGGCGCUGCUAGUGGUGGUGGUAGUGGGUGGUUGAUUUUCUUAGGUCAACGUAUAAUCAAGCCACCGAGGAGAGGCACACUACAGAGGGAGAGGGAUAAAGAGAAAGAGGGAGAGAGAGAUAGAGCACGGACAGCUAUCGUCCUAGACCAAUCCCCGGGCGUCGCCGGCGAACAGCCCCCGAAAGCGGGGGCGAGCCAACCGGUGGCUCCACUUCGAGGAGAAGGAACCUUCUCGAAGGAAUCUUCCGCAUGGAGGUACUACCUUUGGAUACUCCGCUCUCCUCUUCGACGAGAGAAUACACUCUCUCUCGGUAGAGCCGCGUCCGUAAACCACCCAACCCUCGCCCUCGUCCUCGCCAGAAACGCCAUCCCGAACAACCACGUCUGCGAUGGCUCUUACGUACUACGUGGUUACGGCUAAAGUUAAUAACGGAUAGUCCGUUGGUGCACGCUACGACGAUUGAAUUAAACGAGCAGCCUGUCUCAUCCCCGAAUAUACGCUCGACUACUGUGCGCGGUCUCUUUCGGAAUGAUUAGAUUUCAGAAAGUCGACUCUGCUUGAUUGUGUUAGGGAGGAGAUAUUUCACUCGGAAGAUAUCACUGGAAACGGAGAUCUAAGACAUGCUUUACCUUUCUAAGCGCCAAGUUAUUCGUGCUUUUGUGUCUGCUCUCGAAAUAUCUGUUUGUCCUUCGAAAUCAUUCCAAAUUCUUUUUUAAUAUUUUUUUAUUACACACACAUUAUAAAAUAUAUUUUGAAAUACUUAAAAUAUCGGAAGUUUCACAUAUAAUAUAAUUCUUAAAUACAUUUUAAGAAAUUUCAGCAGUUUCCAAACCAUUUUGAAAUUGUUCGAACAUACGAUCUUGUUUUUAAUUCAUAUGAAUUAAAUAUUUUGCAAUGUCAAUUCUAACUCACAUCCAUUCUACCACUCACAAACUCGUGACAGCAAUCCGAACGUAAACGACUUGAGACGUCGCUUCGAAUUUCGUGUCGCGUACAGGACGAAUGGAUAUCGGUUGAUGAGACCGACUGAUCCGAAAGAGAAAACAGAAGAGACGAGAGACUCGCGAAAGGGGAAAGGGGCAGAAAUAGCCAGACGGCCAGCGGUCCCGGAACGUCGAAAGUCCGUGUUCUUGAAGGCAACGGGGCGAAAUGGAAAAAUUGCCUCGAUGUAAAAACAUGAGAAUCGCUUCUCCGCCGUCCACACUCAAUAAAACGACCUCGACCUAAGAGAUACGCGGUCCACUGUGCCGCACAUAUAUAUGUAGAGGAAGCACUCGCGCAAACACACGGGAGAACGGCGUAUACCGAGCGAAAAAUAUACACGACCACACAGACUCGUGCGUCCACUCGAACGGCUUCCUUUUGCAACAUGGUGGAGGAAACGAGAGCAUGAGGGAAAGGACACGCGAAGAGCCAAGCGGGAAGAGGGAAGGAAGCAGUAGCAUCCACAUCCAGUCGAGUGGUCAGCUAUCGAAACCUCCUACCCGUUGCCAAUCCGUCCCACCCCCUCCGCCCCCGGGAGACCGGCUCCAUCGACCAAUAAUAAAAAAUAUACGAGAUCUGUUCGGGCUCACACGGACGCAACCGACCGGCACGCCGAUCUACGUAGACGUAGGCGAAUUAUACUUCGAGGCCGGUUCUAAGUGAUCGCAUUUCCACAUAGACGAGCUGCCCCGAUACGAUAUGAAAGACUGCCCGGUGCCGUUAUUGCCGCGUAGCGAGGGGCUGAGAAAGGCCAUCGCGUCGGCGGGGGGCGCCAUGAGAUCCGAAACGGAACAUUAUCGAGUCGGAUAUUUUCUUUUUUUUUCUCGGGAUCUUUAUGAUUGCCGCUUGCGACGUAGAAACGCAGAAAAAAUGGAAAAUUAUACAAUUUAUAGUAAAAAAAAAAAAAAAAAAAUGUUAUCAAAUGCGUGGCAAUUCUGCGAACGUGCUAAAGUAUUUAUCGAAGAUGCAGUUUCUAAAAUUUAUCCGAGAUAUUCUCUCUCUUCCAAUUGUUUAUUAUUUUUCAUUAUGAGUAUUUUCUAAUUGCUUAAAUUCUCUUUUCAACUUUCAUAGUUAUAAAAGACAAAUGUAUAAUUUUUCUUAUAUUAAAAAUACGGUAAAACAUAUCCUCGUAAUGAUUGAAAAAAAUAUACGCGUUUAAUAUUUUAAAUUGUUUCGAAAGAAAAUUUAUUAGAAAGAAAAUGUAAAGUAUGUUUUCACUGCGAGUAACGAGCACACACUGACGUGAUAGUAGCAAAAGUACUUCCCCGAAGAGCGCAAAACAGUUACACGAAAUCUAUCACCCUUUGUGGUCCUGACGCCCCAGCGGGGCCAAGUUAACGGAAGAAAGAUGAUCCAUUCGUCAUAAUAUAAAAAUGGCCGUGACAGCGUUAUCUGUGGCCAUUUCCUGCAGUCGUAGCGCCGAUUCCCCGGGCUCACUUGUCACUAUGCCGGAGGUAAUGAUCAUUACUGAGGGUUUCAACCCUACGCGUGGUACAGAGAUAUACGAACCCCGAAGAAGAAAGUAGAGGAUCGCGUAAGCAGAGAGAGAUCGUCCCUGUCAAAAAGAGAAGUUGAAAGAGAAGACGGUAGGAGAAAGAGAGCGGGAUGCAGGGCGGAAGGGAGUUGCGGGGUACAAGCGGGGAUGGAGAGCAGAAGACGAUGAUAUAGACUGUGUUCUCGACCCUGCCUUUGCCUCCUCUGCGAUCUCCCGGCUACCCACCCCACAGAAGGGUGGAACAAGAUGGCCGCUGGUAGGACUUCCCGGCCCAGGUCGGGUUUAUGUGUCGUAAUAAAUGGUAAUUUAAAACAGCGAGAACUAACAAUUUCUUUCUUUAUUUCUUCCCCAAUGCUCCGCGCUCAAGAGCGCCCACGACGAACGCGUUCACCCAACCGAGUGCUACGAACACACACACACACACACACACAGACACUCCGUGCAAACACACGUACACGCGCGUACACACCGGGGGGCACCGCUCGCACCUAGAGAGGUAGAGAUCUUUCCGAAGGUGGUAAACGAGAGGCAGACGCAGCGAGGUCUGAGAGGAUAGGGUGCUAGAGCACAGAGCUACAGGGGUGGAAAAGGGGCAUGGUGGUAGUGGCACUUUCGUCGGGAUAUACCCAAGCCAAGAAACCGUGAACCAGCCAGUCAGCCAAGCAGCCCACGUAAUAUAAAGAGAUAUGUGCCGCGGAAUGGCAUUACCAUUAGGAGAUAUAGUUUAGCGGAGGAGGCAGCAGAUGAAAUGAGAUACUGCGGCUGAAUCAUGCAUGAAGCGAAGAAGGUGCGAUUCACCGUUCUCUUUUCGCUCGACAGUUCCCGUACACGCGUUUGCCUGCAUGUAUACACGCCCACGCGUGUGUGCGUGUAUAUACAAACCGAGAGAACAUCAAGGUGAUCUCCGUUUCGCCCCCCCCCCUCGGCCGCGGAUUUUCUCCGUCAACUUUCCCCGUCUUUUCUUACGCUUUUCUCUUUGCCACCUUGGUCGGCUUCCCGAUCUUCACCUCCCCCCCUCUCCGCUCCUCCUCCUCCCCCUUUCUCUCCCCCACCCUUUCUUGCUCUCUUCCUCAUCCCUUUGCCGACCCUCCGUCUCCUCCUCGUGCGGACUCGAUGAGAAAAGUGAAUAUGCUACAAUAUUCAAAUGGCAGCCGCGCGACACUUUAUUAAACGCGCUAUUUGCAUCGCCGCCAACAUCCCCCGCACGCCUCCCCUUUCUAUCGCCCGCUCCCUCUCUGCAUCGGCCGACGGUCGACGAUCCUUUUUGGUUGCCGACCAGACAGAGACGAGCACGUUGCUCGGUGCCUGAUUAAAAACUCGCCAGCGAAGCCGUCGUUGUGAUAGCGGCACGUUACGCUCCGCAUGCUGAAAGCAUUCGGAUCGAGAGUAUCGUUUUUCUAUCGCCGUCGUAAUCGAAAUCAGUAAAAUCUUAAAAUUAAUAUAAAAAAAAGUUAAUAAAUUUCAAAUAUAAAAAUAAUUAAGUUCUUGUAAAAUGACUAUUAAAAAUUAAAUAGUUUUAAUGUUGUAUUAUCCAAAUAUUUUUUACAAUAAUUUUAGAGUAAAAAAGGUACGCAGUUUAAAAAAAAAAAAGAUUGUAAGAUUCAUUAUUAUGAGAGUCGUAGUGCAUGCAGAGAUACUAGGAGAGUAUUCGGGCAGACUAUCCCCGUAAUUCUUCGCAGGGCAGCCUGGGGCGCACAGGCACACAUUAUGCUAAUUUGUCUUUUAAUCUCGUGGCACCACCGGUGCGUCUUCUCUUUUCGUUCGGAGAGGGAGGCUCGUAUCCCCCCCGACUAAUACCAGAAUACAAUCUGAGAGCGUGCAAGCGUGCUAUUUACUUUGGAGAACAUGAGUGGCUCGUACCUAUCACAACAAUACUGUUUCUGUUGAGAAUCUUAAGGGUAGACACGCGUGAUUACGAGAAUAGCAGGGCCAUAUCGAACGGAAACGAAACGACGUUAAAUUUUCCCGAGUAUAUAAAUUCGUAAAAAUAUCUUCUUCCAUCUUCUGUCAUUUUAUUGUAUCCACAGUACAUUACUACAAUAUUCUUGUCGGAACUUCCGACGAGAGGUGAAACAUCCAGUAUUUCUCACCAAAUUCGUACUGGCGCAAAAGCGAAAACUCGACCUGCGGGCGAGAGAAAUUCUAGCGAGCGCGCAGGUUGAAGGGCAAAAAAGCAUCUCCGAAGAAAGAAACUCGGAAUCACGACGCGAAUGAAGUAGGCGGGAGGACCAGAUGGUGGUGGCCCACGACGGCGGUAGUGGGAGCACUUAUGCAUUUAUGCAUUCAUAUUUCCGCGGUCUUCGUUCUCGAGACGAACCGUAAGACGACGACGACGUCGCCAACGUCGGUUGUCGUCGUCGUCGUCGUCGUCAUAGGAGCGCCCGAACCGCAACGGUGCUCCGCGCCAUCGAGGAAGAGGAAAGGUAGGGAAACGAAAGAGGUGGGCGUAAAGUUGCUUCGGAAUAAUAAUACACGCCGGCGCCCGCGCGAGCUCCGCUCGCAGGAAAAAAUCUGAAUAUAUGAAACGUAAUGACAGAGUGUGUACGCCUCCGCGGAGCGUUCGCCAGAUUCGGGAUGGCCGUCUCGGAAAGAGCAAAACCGCAGGAGCGCCGAUGAACGUUCCUCGAUUUCGUUAUGGUAUCAGCUUAGUUUGCAAGAUGCGACUACAAGAUAUUUAACUCAUAAAAGGAAAAUCAAUUAUAUAAAGGAAACUAUUAUAUUCGAAAAAGAAAAACAAUAUUUGAAAUACUGAUUAAUUAAUGAUGUAGCUUCAGCAAGCAGCAACUACGCUGUUUAAAUUAAUUAGAUCUUUGGAAGCCUCAAAUUUUGAAAAUUCGAAUAAAGAAGUCGCGCGAAAUACGUGUUUCGUAUUCUUGUUUUCCGAAACAAUCGCACAUCGUUUCGCAAUUCUAGAGAUCUUUCGCAUCUCUUCGAUUUAAAAUCUACUCAAUGUCGUAAACGAUGGUGAUGGUGACCGUCGAAGGACGUGGCUAUCGAGACCUGACUAAAAAGGACGACGGCGACAGAGAACAGUUGGCGACGCCGAUGGCGUAAGGGUAGGAAGGUAGAUGGAUGAAAGGAAGGAAGGAAGGAAGGAAGGAAGGAAGGAAGGGCGCCGUCGUAGCCCGGGUACCCGUGGCUCCGCCUAUCGGCGCGCCGCCUCGCGGUGGUGAAUACAUUUAGCCUGGUUAGUUUACAAAUGAAUACAGCGAUUGAAGCAACUUAUAAUAUCAAUGUACCUCCGGCCGUCUUGCUCGCACGCCGUGCGCCACCCCUUGCUAGCAUCUCACUUCCACCCACUCUCUCGCGGGGUUCCAUACAGAAUGGCCAUAUUAACUUGAUAAUUAGCUCGGUUAUACGACUUGCAGAUGAGGAAAGACUCGGGACGGACGUCGGCUACCCCUACCAGGAGUGGUGCCAGUGUUCCUUGCUCUGCUCCCUAUGCUAUGCUCGACUCGGCCCGGCUCCUCGUCGCUCGUCGGAUGGAUAUAGAACCCUUAGUUCGUAUUCCUCUCCCUGUCUGCUAGGAACCCCGCCGUGGUUCGUCUCGCAGCCGGUAAAUCCGACGACGUCGUCGUCGUCUUCGUCGUCCUCGAGCUUGUAAUCGCGCUCGUGAUCUCGAGACACGUCUUACGGAGUACCGAUCUUUCAGUGAGUUUUCAAAGUGUCACUAUCCUUACCCCACAAGUGACAGGGUUAAUCUAGGUGAUCACGUGUUCGAGCAUGCGAUCGCGAUCACGUGCCAUGAGAUUUCUCAAGAGCCGUACGGCGAAGUCGACGUUUGCCGUUUUCUUAUCAACAGGGUCCUAAUCAGGCUGUGAUGGUCAUGAUAAAAAGAAGAAGACCUUCGUACUGAAACAUUAGGAGAACAAAUCCCACGUCCUGAAAGGAUACCUUUCGAAAAGCAACGAGCCGAAUACGAGGAGUACUCGUGCGGUUCAUACUCCAAUUAUGAAGCGGCGCUAGUUGGAGCAUGUCUCGAUCGUGCCGCCGCCGUUUCGAUUCGAAACAGUUAGAUCUGAUCGGAUCUCAUGGGUAGCGGACUGACAGGAAAUCGCCGGCCGUUUUCACGUGGCAGGACUAGUGCGGGGAAGGAGAUGAAAACGGCAGACAGCAACGAGCAACGGGCAACGGCAUUGCGGCAUAGGUCGUUCAUUACCCCGUUGCCCGUAAUCGAGAGGAAGACACGCUGGAAUAGAAAAAGAGGAAGGUAAAAGAAGAGAAGAGAAAGCAGAAUGGAAGCUACGUGGCUUCCCACGGCGAUUCGCGGUGGCGGCCGUCACGAAUCGCAUGACGACGUGACGACGACGAUGGCGACCAGUCGACGAGGACAAUACGUCUCCCUUCCUGAACUCUAUGCCGUUCUCUCGGCUCGUUCCUAGCCGCAUCAUCGCCACGAAUAUCGGCAGCGAGACGGUGUACAGAGUGCCAAGGGGGAGAAAGAGAGAGAGAGAGAGAGAGAGAGAGAGAAAGAAGGGGUGAUGUGGUGAGAGGGAAAGGUCUCUGGACGCUUCUAGCCUAGAUCAAAACCUGUAAUCACGACGUAAUAAUACCCGAUCACGGAAGAUAUUGCACAUUUCCCCGGAAUCACUGCUAUUCCCAGGGAAGAUGCCCCCGUCGGGGUUGUUUGGGAGGUCUUACUGUUCCCCGACAUGCAAUCCCGAAUUUGCUAUAUCUCGCUCUUCCUUCUUGGCCGGCCGAUUCUUACACUACGCCGCUCGACUUUGCCCUGGGUCAUAUCGCCGUACCCUCUCCCUCCGUUCUGUCCUUCGUACCUAUACCUGCGGUACCUAUAGUUUCGUCUCGGUUUUCCUUUUUUCUGAUUCGUGGCUAGCGAUUACAACUUUGCGAAAGACGAACCGAUGCUUUCGCACCGUCGUCGAUUUCAUUUCCGAGAUAAAACAAUUUUUCAUAGAAACGAUUGCUCUAAGUGGUGCAAAAGUUCUAAUCCUUUCGUAAUCUUUUCAGUGGAAGUUAAAAAGUAAUUUCCAAGAUUUCAAAGUCGCAUGUAAAAUUAUCGUGUGUAAUUAUCAAAUCAGACAGAUGAACAUCAAGACUUACAAAAAAAAAAAAAAAUACAGAUAAUAAUUCUUGAUUGUUUAAAAAAUAAUAAAGCACGAAAGUAAAAGUUGUCUAUAUCAUCGUACUUUUGUUCGUGCAGCAUUAUUGAAAAUUAUUUAAAAAAUAGAUGCAGGCUUUCCUGCGAUAAAUUUAUAAAGAGCGUUAACUACCCGCAAGCAAGACGUCAACUAAGUAUACAAAAAUGGUAUGCUGGUUCUUAAUAAAGUUCACGGAUGCAAUACGCAAAGUAAUCUAAAUAUUUAAUCUAGAUUAAAUCAAGAAGACAAGCUGAAAAGAGAGAGACAGACAGAUAGACAGACAGACAGACGGGCGUACGGGUGAAUGAGAUACGGUCGGCGCGGGCAAUGCAGGUUUAACAUUGUAUGCUUUUUUACACGGUAACCGACGAACAGUUCGUCGGCCGGCUCGUGUACGGCGAGCAGUUCCGAAGCCUCUGGAGCCGUUGGGCCCAAGAUGGGCCGGUAGGAUGGUGGCUGGUAGCACGUUGGCGGAGGCCGUGGCAGACACAAGCGGUCAGACACACGCGGGGAAGGGAGAAAGAGGUGCAUGCAGAGGGGCAGAGAAUUGGAAAACAAGGUGGAAGGGUGCCCCGAGCCAGCGCCGUACCAUUAAUCAUCGGGGGCGAUGAGCGCGUGACGCCGCGGUCUGACCGCAAGCUCGUUACGCCUGUCGGAAGUAUAAAUCAACCGCAAAGUUAUUCCGCCGUGCUGUCGGGAACUCCCCGUAGGGCGCCUCGUUGGAAACUGCUACCACCUUCUUGUCCGCGAUACCGUUCGCGCAGAUGAUAGCGAUCUGGAAAUGGGGAAAAGUCGGAAAGGCGAUAAUCAGCAGACAACCGCAAGAGACUAUUCUCAACUUCGAGAAACGAAUUUAUUCUUCGCGCAACUUCUGUUCCACGAUCGAGUUUGGCAAAGUAUCUCGCGCUCUUCGCUCGAACAAUAAAUAAAUAUUCCAACUCACUAA